GAAUGAAGCGGGAAAAGCUCAAGUUUGAAAUCUGGCGGGCGACCGUCCAGAGUUGUAAGCUGGAGAGGUGUCGUCGGAUGCGGUCCAGGCUCAAUUUCCUUGGAACAGGAGGUCAUGGAGGGCGAGAACCCCGUAUGUGGCUUGGGUGCCGUGGUCCUUGUGACGUAUCCUCUAAGAGUCGGGUUGUUUGGGAAUGCAGCUCAAAAUGGGUGGUAAAUUUCAUCUAAAGCUAAAUAUUGGUGAGAGACCGAUAGCAAACAAGUAGAGUGAUCGAAAGAUGAAAAGUACUUUGAAAAGAGAGUGAAACAGUACGUGAAAUUGUUGAAAGGGAAGCGUUUGGCAUCAGCCCAUGGCGGCGGUCGAACAUCUGGGCUUCUGCCCAGUGCACUCGGCAGUCGCCGGGCCAGCGUCGGCUCCACCUGCUGGAGAAAGGCCUUGGGGAAGUGGCACUCCCUUGUGGAGUGUGUUAUAACCCAUGGCGUCAUGCGGCUUGGUGGGACCGAGGUCCGCGGUUUUGUCCUA
rnacentral:rRNA from 1 species